UGGGGAAUCUUGGGCAAUGGGCGAAAGCCUGACCCAGCCACGCCGCGUGGAGGAUGAAGCCCCUCGGGGUGUAAACUCCUUUUCUGGGGGAAGAAAUCCCGGCUGUUGUCGGGACUGACGGUACCCCAGGAAUAAGCGCCGGCUAACUCCGUGCCAGCAGCCGCGGUAAUACGGAGGGCGCAAGCGUUGCCCGGAAUCACUGGGUGUAAAGGGUGCGUAGGCGG
rnacentral:rRNA from 1 species